UUGGCCAUGGGGCUGCGCGG
rnacentral:miRNA from 1 species